UGAUUUUCAGCCUCAAAAUUCAGCUAUAGUUAAAAACUGAAAUCCCUCACUCAUUCAGGUGUCAGAUUAUCGAAUCGAUUUUCAACAUUUGUGUUUAAUUUGAUUGCGGCAGCAAUCGAUUGAUCAAUAGAUCAGGAUUUUGUGCCGGUGUGACAUGAGUUAUAAUGUUGGCGAUGAGGAAGAUCGUUGGUUCGUGGAGGAUGCUGAACUUGGUCUAAACAAGGCAGCUGACACUUUGCAGAGAAUGACAAUAAUGGCAAGAGAAUGAGCCUGAUUACUUAAUAGGCUACUUGAUCCUUCCUGGACAAGUGGACGACAAGGAUGGUGCUCUUCUGCAUGUAAGUAUGAUGGAAAAGUUUGAAAAGGUGAAUGGAGUUGAAGAUUCAACAAAUUUCCCUAAUGCCUCAAGCAAGUUGAGAGGCACAUCAGAACUUAGCACUCGAGCGAUCAUCAAUAGCAUAUGGUACACCACAGUUUGAAACUCAGACACAAGAUAGCCAUAAACUUAACAAUUGUGCAUGAUUCUAAAGAUGUUUUCUACUGUUACGGAACGAUUCAGACUACUGGCUUUUAUCAGAUGCAGCAGGCAUCAGGCUGACAGACUUGUGGAAGACAGAUACUGGUGUGGAGUGGAAUGAUGUAAAUAUGCUUGAAGAGGAGUUGGAAAUGGCUGCUAUUGGCACACCAAAAGCACAGAUUCCAUCAUCUGUUGAUACUGUUGUACAUCCUGUUGUUGAUAAUGUCCAACCUAGGUGAUUCACUAGAAUUUGUUG